GUAAAAAGCCGAAUCCGGGAAUCGGAGCGGGGGAACCAUAAUUAUUGGGAAGCGCAAUCGGGCGCGUUCUUUUGGGGUGAAUGCGUUGUUCCCGUUUGGGGGAAAUUUGCAGGGGCAGCUUCUCUGUCCUAACCCGGCAGCUAACCUCGCAGGCGCAAGAGAGAGGAG
rnacentral:sRNA from 1 species